rnacentral:misc_RNA from 1 species
CAGGACAACCCAUUAAAGUGGGAAGAAAAUCCAUAUGGCUGUAAGGCUAAUGAUCACCUUCCUUAUAACUGGCUGCUAGGCACUCCACCUUUUUUAAGCUCUUCCAUAUUUCUGAUGCCCUUGUGCUUUACAAUGCAUUAUGGCAGUUAAAAAAAAAAAAAGAAAAUCAAUAUGAAAACAACUCCGAGCAACUCAGAACACCGUAAAAGCAUAAAAUACAGCAACGGUAAAAUAAAGAGCAUUGCAGGCUACAGCCUUACAAGCGUAUUAUUUUCUGGACAAAAGCCCAUAAAUUCUCACUUCUAUUUUCAUAUGUUUUAACGUUAAAGCUCUCCAUCCCAAAGCUCUUCGAUGGACUUGAACGGUCCAUCAUGGGAGACAUAUUCCUCUUUAAGCCUGAGUCUUUGCUGUGGGAUUUGACUGAUCUUGUCCUUAUCUUCCUUUGACAGUUCCCACUCAAAAAUCUCCAUAUUCUCUUUCAGUCUCUCCUUUUUAUAGCUCUUCACAACAAGAGUUAUCCCUUGCUCUAUUAUCCAUCUCAGAGCCACCUGUGCAACAGUCUUCCCAUGCUUCUCUGCUAUUUCUUUCAGCACUUGAUUGUCCAUAACAAGAUUGCUGCCCCAGUUGGUGCCUUUUGCUCCCAAAGGGGAGUAAGCAGUAACAACGACAUUGUGGGUCUUGCAAAAUUCUAUAAGCUUCUUCUGUUGCCAUACUGGGCUCAUCUCCACCUAAAUAUAAUAUAUACGUAUAUAUACCAUCUCCAAAGUAUCAUCUACUGCCAAAAAAUAAGAGAAGUUGCUGACUCCAAUGGACUUUGUGAGGCCAAGCCUCUGGCAAUCUUCCAUGGCUGCCCACACAGCCUUGUAGUCCAUUGGUUGAAGCUCCUCUUUAGGUGUUGGAUAUUCAUGCCUUCCUGGCUUAGAACUGAUGGGCCAGUGAAUGAGAUAGAGAUCUAGCUACUCCAAUUGAAGAUUCCUGCCCACAAUAGCAAUCAAGUACUCAUAGCAGAUUGAAUUAAGGAAAAGUUUUUUCAUUUUUUUUUAUUUAACUUCAAAUGAACUCGAACACAAAAUCUCACUGGGUAAGUGUGGUAUAAGGUCUUUUCAAUUGUUCUACUACUACUACCUCCUCAAGUUAUGGAUGAGGCACUUAAAAAUCAACAACUGACAAAGACAACCAUAAAAGAAAACAGUGCUAGACGUCUCCACCAAAAUAUGUCCAGAAAGAAUAAAAAAAUUUGAAUAUUUUUUUUUUAUAAAUUUAUAAACAAACUUUGUCCAAAAAAGUAGCAAUUGAUAAUUGAUUCUCUGUAAAGAUGCCUACAGCUACAGCAAACUAAACCAGUUCUUAUUUAUUUACUAAAAAAUAUACAUAAAAUAUUAAUUUUCUUCAUAUGAAUUUUUUUUUUAUAUGAGAGAUGAAUGCCUAAUUACCUGAGAGAAUUCUUUAGAGCAAGGACAACACGAUCACCAUGUGCAUCGCUGCACCAGAGCUUUGAAGUGAUGAAGAGUUGCUCCCGAGAUGCAAGGAGGCCAAGUUCAAGAGCUUCGGCAAUGGCUUCCCCAAGAACCUGCUCUGAGCCAUACAUGGCGGCAGUGUCAAAUUGCCUGUAUCCCUGGCUGAUGGCAUCAAGGAUCGCCGCUCUCAUGGCGGAUUCAAUAAAUGGGUCGGCGGCUGUGCCCAAAGCGAUCACUGGCAUGUCCAGAUUUCAGGAAGACGGCAUGAGUUUCACUUGAGGGAUCUUGGUCACCUGAGACUCCAUUUGGUUUAACAGGUCCCAAAAGAAGAAAAGUUACUGAGACUCAGAGAGAACAAUAGAGAUAAGAAGAGCCACCACGAACUCUUAUAAUGUGUUGACUGACAUAAAUAUCUGAAGAGAAUUCAUGAAUAUGCAUAGCCUGUUU